UAAGGAAUAUUGGUCAAUGGACGGAAGUCUGAACCAGCCAUGCCGCGUGCAGGAAGACGGCCCUACGGGUUGUAAACUGCUUUUGUACGGGAACAAACCCAGGUACGUGUACCUGGCUGAGUGUACUGUAAGAAUAAGGAUCGGCUAACUCCGUGCCAGCAGCCGCGGUAAUACGGAGGAUCCGAGCGUUAUCCGGAUUUAUUGGGUUUAAAGGGUGCGUAGGCGGCCAUUUAAGUCAGGGGUGAAAUACGGCAGCUCAACUGUCGCAGUGCCUUUGAUACUGAUUGGCUUGAAUGCGGAUGAGGUAGGCGGAAUGAGACAAGUAGCGGUGAAAUGCAUAGAUAUGUCUCAGAACUCCGAUUGCGAAGGCAGCUUACUAAGUCGUGAUUGACGCUGAUGCACGAAAGCGUGGGGAUCAAACAG
rnacentral:rRNA from 1 species